rnacentral:tRNA from 1 species
GGUGGUAUAGUUAAGACGGUCAUAACACUCGGCUGAUAACCGAACAUCGCAGGUUCGAUUCCUGCUACCACUACCA